GACGAACGCUGGCGGCGUGCUUAACACAUGCAAGUCGAACGGAAAGGCCUGCUUUCCCUUGUGGAUUGCGGGUACUCGAGUGGCGAACGGGUGAGUAACACGUGAGUGAUCUGCCCCCAACUUGGGUAUAAGCCUGGGAAACUGGGUAUAAUUCCCGAUAGGACUGCAGGGUGGUUCCUGUGGUGGAAAACGAUUUUCUAGUGGUUGGGGAUGAGCUCGCGGCCUAUCAGCUUGUUGGUGGGGUAAUGGCCUACCAAGGCGGCGACGGGUAGCCGGCCUGAGAGGGUGGACAGCCACAUUGGGACUGAGAUACGGCCCAGACUCCUACGGGAGGCAGCAGUGGGGAAUAUUGCACAAUGGGCGGAAGCCUGAUGCAGCGACGCCGCGUGGGGGAUGACGGCCUUCGGGUUGUAAACUCCUUUCGACCGCGAGGAAGCCACCUGGUUGGAAGGGUGGUGACGGUAAUGGUAGAAGAAGCACCGGCUAACUACGUG
rnacentral:rRNA from 1 species